CCUACGGGUGGCAGCAGUGGGGAAUAUUGGACAAUGGGGGGAACCCUGAUCCAGCGACGCCGCGUGAGUGAAGAAGUAUUUCGGUAUGUAAAGCUCUAUCAGCAGGGAAGAAAGAAAUGACGGUACCUGACUAAGAAGCCCCGGCUAACUACGUGCCAGCAGCCGCGGUAAUACGUAGGGGGCAAGCGUUAUCCGGAUUUACUGGGUGUAAAGGGAGCGUAGACGGCGAUGCAAGUCUGAAGUGAAAGGCGGGGGCCCAACCCCUGGACUGCUUUGGAAACUGUAUGGCUGGAGUGCAGGAGAGGUAAGUGGAAUUCCUAGUGUAGCGGUGAAAUGCGUAGAUAUUAGGAGGAACACCAGUGGCGAAGGCAGCCUACUAAACUGCCACUGACAUUGAUGCUCGAAAGUGUGGGUAUCAAACAGGAUUAGAUACCCCAGUAGUC
rnacentral:rRNA from 1 species